rnacentral:rRNA from 1 species
CCCGCACAAGCGGUGGAGCAUGUGGUUUUAAUUCGAAGCAACGCGCAGAACCUUACCAGCCCUUGACAUACCGGUCGCGGACACAGAGAUGUGUCUUUCAGUUCGGCUGGACCGGAUACAGGUGCUGCAUGGCUGUCGUCAGCUCGUGUCGUGAGAUGUUGGGUUAAGUCCCGCAACGAGCGCAACCCUCGCCCUUAGUUGCCAGCAUUUAGUUGGGCACUCUAAGGGGACUGCCGGUGAUAAGCCGAGAGGAAGGUGGGGAUGACGUCAAGUCCUCAUGGCCCUUACGGGCUGGGCUACACACGUGCUACAAUGGUGGUGACAGUGGGCAGCGAGCACGCGAGUGUGAGCUAAUCUCCAAAAGCCAUCUCAGUUCGGAUUGCACUCUGCAACUCGAGUGCAUGAAGUUGGAAUCGCUAGUAAUCGCGGAUCAGCAUGCCACGGUGAAUACGUUCCCGGGCCUU